UUCGUCACACUAUCAUUAACUGAAUCCAUAGGUUAAUGAGGCGAACCGGGGGAACUGAAACAUCUAAGUACCCCGAGGAAAAGAAAUCAACCGAGAUUCCCCCAGUAGCGGCGAGCGAACGGGGAGCAGCCCAGAGCCUGAAUCAGUGUGUGUGUUAGUGGAAGCGUCUGGAAAGGCGCGCGAUACAGGGUGACAGCCCCGUACACAAAAAUGCACAUACUGUGAGCUCGAUGAGUAGGGCGGGACACGUGGUAUCCUGUCUGAAUAUGGGGGGACCAUCCUCCAAGGCUAAAUACUCCUGACUGACCGAUAGUGAACCAGUACCGUGAGGGAAAGGCGAAAAGAACCCCGGCGAGGGGAGUGAAAAAGAACCUGAAACCGUGUACGUACAAGCAGUGGGAGCACGCUUAGGCGUGUGACUGCGUACCUUUUGUAUAAUGGGUCAGCGACUUAUAUUCUGUAGCAAGGUUAACCGAAUAGGGGAGCCGAAGGGAAACCGAGUCUUAACUGGGCGUUAAGUUGCAGGGUAUAGACCCGAAACCCGGUGAUCUAGCCAUGGGCAGGUUGAAGGUUGGGUAACACUAACUGGAGGACCGAACCGACUAAUGUUGAAAAAUUAGCGGAUGACUUGUGGCUGGGGGUGAAAGGCCAAUCAAACCGGGAGAUAGCUGGUUCUCCCCGAAAGCUAUUUAGGUAGCGCCUCGUGAAUUCAUCUCCGGGGGUAGAGCACUGUUUCGGCAAGGGGGUCAUCCCGACUUACCAACCCGAUGCAAACUGCGAAUACCGGAGAAUGUUAUCACGGGAGACACACGGCGGGUGCUAACGUCCGUCGUGAAGAGGGAAACAACCCAGACCGCCAGCUAAGGUCCCAAAGUCAUGGUUAAGUGGGAAACGAUGUGGGAAGGCCCAGACAGCCAGGAUGUUGGCUUAGAAGCAGCCAUCAUUUAAAGAAAGCGUAAUAGCUCACUGGUCGAGUCGGCCUGCGCGGAAGAUGUAACGGGGCUAAACCAUGCACCGAAGCUGCGGCAGCGACGCUUAUGCGUUGUUGGGUA
rnacentral:rRNA from 1 species